rnacentral:rRNA from 1 species
AUGGCAAAACACUUUAGUUUGCUCUUGGUUCUUGCCUUUGUUCUUGUUGUGACGGCUGAAGAUUGUACCGUCGACCUUAAAGGGCUAAUCCGAGAGUGCAAACCAUAUGUGAUGUUUCCCGCGAGCCCAAAGAUAACUCCGUCGAGUGCAUGUUGUAGUGUGGUUCAGAAGGUCAAUGCACCGUGCAUGUGCUCCAAGGUCACCAAGGAGAUUGAGAAGGUGGUAUGCAUGGAUAAGGUUGUGUAUGUCGCUGAUUACUGCAAGAAUCCACUCAAACCUGGCUCCGACUGUGGCAGUUACCAUGUCCCAUCUCAAGGCCGAUAG